rnacentral:rRNA from 1 species
AUGCUCUCUAAUCUAACUUACCUGGACAUUAGUCUCAAUGAUCUUCAUGGUGUGCUCACGGAGGAGCACUUUGCUAAAAUGGCCAGUUUAGAGACAUUGGACCUAUCGCAGAAUCCCCUACUCAAGAUUCACGUGGAUUCAGAAUGGAAGACUCCCUUCAAGCUUAGAGAUGCAAAUUUUUCGUUGUGCAUCAUGGGUCCCCUUUUUCCUGCCUGGCUCCAGUGGCAGGUGAAUCUUACUUACCUUGACAUCUCAAGCUCAGGUAUAACUGAUAAGCUCCCGGACUGGUUCACCAUUGCAUUUUCAACAAUGGAUUUUCUGGAUAUGUCCAAUAAUUCAAUAUAUGGCGAGUUGCCGGAAAAUAUGGAGGACAUGUCAUUGACACAAUUCUUUCUCGAUUCCAAUAGACUUACUGGGCCCAUACCAAGUCUACCAAGGAAUAUCAUCUACUUGGAUAUCUCCAUGAACUCUUUAUCAGGGCCUUUCCCAUCCAAUCUUGGAGCUCCGGGACUAGAAAUGCUGCUUAUGUUCUCGAAUGGCAUCGUGGGUCAUCUUCCCGAAUCAAUCUGCCAUUCACAGAAGUUGAUAGUCUUAGACUUAGCAAACAACCUUCUCGUUGGAGAACUACCUUCAUGUUCUAGAAUGGAAUCCUUGAGGUACCUGCUGUUAAGUAACAAUAGCUUCUCUGGACCAUUCCCACCAUUUGUACAGAGCUGCAAAAAUUUGGGUUUCUUGGAUCUUGCAUGGAAUAACUUAUCCGGAACAUUGCCGACGUGGAUUGGCAACUUGGUGCAACUGCAAUUUGUACGGUUGAGUUAUAACAUGUUCUCUGGGAAGAUCCCGGUCAUCAUCACAAAACUCAAGUUCCUUCAUCAUUUGAAUCUAGCAGGAAAUAAUAUAUCCGGAUCCAUCCCACUGGGUAUGUCAAACCUAACAGCAAUGACACGGAUGGCGGUAAGGAUUGGCUCGUUUCCUUAUCAGGCGUAUGCAAAUGCGGCGGGUGAAGGUGGAAAUAGCUUGUCCGUUGUUACCAAGGGGCAAGAACUUAAGUAUGGUGUAGGAAUUUUGGAUAUGGUGAGCAUUGACUUAUCCUUCAACGGGUUAACUGGGAUAAUUCCAGAGGAAAUUGCUUCUCUUGACGCACUGUUAAACAUAAAUGUGUCUUGGAAUCGCCUGAGCGGUAAAUUCCCAGAAAAUAUUGGGGCCAUACAGUCACUUGAGUCACUCGACCUCUCAAAGAACAUGCUCUCUCGCGAGAUCCCUUCAAGCUUGUCAAAGAUAACAUACUUAAGCUUCUUGAACCUAUCUGAAAACAAUCUUACAGGGAGAAUACCACCAGGCUCUCAGCUUGACACCCUGUACCAGGAGCACCCAUCUAUAUACGAUGGCAACAGUGGGCUUUGCGGACCUCCUCUUCAGAAGAAUUGCUCGAGAAAUGGUACAUCAACGCAAGAUGGUCAGAACAGAACUGGCCAUGGUUUUGAGCCAAUGUCUUUUAGAUUUGGGCUUGUUCUGGGUCUCAUUAUGGGCCUCUGGUUGGCGCUCUUCACCCUUCUAUUAAUGAAAGCAUGGAGGAUUGCUUAUUUCCGCCUCUUUGACAAGUUGUAUGAUCAGAUAUAUGUGUUUGCCGUUGUUAAAUGGAAAAGAUUGGCCAGAGCAGGAACAACAGAUUAG